UACGGGGGGAGCAAGCGUUGUUCGGAUUUACUGGGCGUAAAGGGCGCGUAGGCGGCCUCUGCAAGUCGACUGUGAAAUCUCCGGGCUUAACCCGGAAAGGUCAGCCGAUACUGCAGGGCUAGAGUGCAGAAGGGGCAACUGGAAUUCCGAGUGUAGAGGUGAAAUUCGUAGAUAUUCGGAGGAACACCAGUGGCGAAGGCGGCUCACUGGUCCGGUACUGACGCUGAGGUGCGAAAGCGUGGGGAGCAAACAGG
rnacentral:rRNA from 1 species